rnacentral:rRNA from 1 species
GAUGAACGCUGGCUACAGGCUUAACACAUGCAAGUCGAGGGGAAACGACGGGGAAGCUUGCUUCCCCGGGCGUCGACCGGCGCACAAGGGGGUAACGCGUAUCCAACCUGCCUCUGACUGAGGGAUAACCCGUCGAAAGUCGUGCUAAUAACUCAUGGCAUCGUCUGCGGGCAUCCAACGACGAUUAAAGAGUUCAUCGAUCGGGGAGGGGGCUGCGUGUGGUUAGCUUGUUGGCGGGGUAAGGGGCCACCAAGGCUAGGAUCGGGAGGGAUUCUGAGAGGAAGGUCCCGCAACUGGGAACUUGGACACGGGCCAAACUCCUACGGGAGGCAGCAGUGAGGAAUAUUGGUCAAUGGGCGGGAGGCUGAAUCAGCCAAGGAGGGUGCAGGAUGACGGCCCUAUGGGUUGUAAACUGCUUUUAUGCGGGGAUAAAGUGAGGGGUGUGUCCUUUAUUGCAGGUACCGCAUGAAGAAGGACCGGCUAAUUCCGUG